rnacentral:rRNA from 1 species
UACGUAGGUGGCGAGCGUUGUCCGGAUUUACUGGGCGUAAAGGGAGCGUAGGCGGACUUUUAAGUGAGAUGUGGAAUACUCGGGCUCAACUUGAGUGCUGCAUUUCAAACUGGAAGUCUAGAGUGCAGGAGAGGAGAAUGGAAUUCCUAGUGUAGCGGUGAAAUGCGUAGAGAUUAGGAAGAACACCAGUGGCGAAGGCGAUUCUCUGGACUGUGACUGACGCUGAGGCUCGAAAGCGUGGGGAGCAAACAGG